UGUCGCUGUAGAUUUAGCAGCACUGUACUGUAAAAAUCCACAGUACUAUACUGUAUGUGUACAUUACAGUACAGUACUGCAGUUCAUAAUGCAUUCUGGGUAAAUUUGUUUGAGCGGGAAAAUUUUACAGUAUAUUUUGGUCUUGAUGUAACCUUGCUGUAGCCAUUGCUGUAAUGUGCCAGGUGUACUUGCAAUAAUCAGUGAAAGUGCGCCAACGUCAAAUCACACAGACAGAGGGAGAGCACAACUCUUGGCUGCAGCUGAAGGAGGACGAUUGAUUUCUGUCAGUUCGUCUUACCAUUGCUUGUAAGCUGGAUUGGGUAAGAUGGAUCAUCUUUAAAGGCACCAGGAGUUAAGGCAGAUGUGGAGGCACAAUGGGUGACACCAGACACACACCAAGCACAUUAUGUUCGGACAUUCAAUCAUGACAUGAUCCAUGUGGAUGCUGUCCAUUGAGGAAAGAGUUUGUUCAGAG